AAAACCGACGCGACCCGAGCUGGGCUGCGGAAAUGGCGCCCAUGUCCCGGCUCCGGCCAGGUCGUGAUCAGGAGACAGGUGUGGCCCUGGGACCCGUUUGGAGAGCAGAGGGGACAUAAGUGGGUGCUGGGGGCGGGGGAGCUUGUGGCCCUGCGGCCCCCGCCCAGCCCCCGCCGAGCCCCCGCCGCAGCAUUUCGGAGCUGGGCGCGGCAAAGGAGGGCCGGGACGCAGGCAGAGCGGGGGUUGAGCGGGGCCUGCGGCAGGGAAACCGGGAGAAGCAGGAGGCCGGGCGGGGCGGGGCAGGACGGUUGAGUCCUUCAUUGCUUCUAUCACAGACUGAGGAGCCUCUCCCCACCGCAAUCCCUUUAUACUGGGUAGGGGUUCGAAGGCACAGGGACAGAGUAUACAGGACACUGCUUGAGGCAGCGCGUCCACCCACCAUCUGUGCGACCUCAUCAAGUCACCUCUCUGAGCCUCAGUUUCCCGGUAUAAUGGAAACGGCAAUUUUAAAUGACACGUAAGUGCCUGGCACUCAUUGAGCUCAUCAAAUGAAGAGCCCCGUCUCUGGGCCCCCUUGCCCCUGAGGGAAAUGCACACACAAACCUAGAAAAUGUGCUGUAAUGCACAAUGUGGGACAGACCCAGUCACUCUCCUUUCAUUCUUCUUCCAUCGAAUAUUCUGAGGCUUCGGCGCCAGCCCUUUGCCGGCGGAUGCUGCCGAGAUGAAGACAGCAUGCUCGGCCUGGUGAAGCCAAUAAAAGAGCAGGCUCCCCUCCUGGGGCCAGGUGUCACCACAGAAGCAGGCCCUGGAAGAUGCCAGGAGCCAGCCAGCCCAGGGCCCUGUCCUACCCCCGGCCCUUCCGCGGGCGAGAGCCCAGGAUCUCCAGGUCCUGCCCUGCACUUGGAGAUUUGCUCCCUAACAGGUUUUUGGUUUUGUUUUUUUGAAUAGAGGCGGGGUUUUGCCGUGUUGCCCAGGCUGGUCUCAAACUCCUGG
rnacentral:lncRNA from 1 species